CACAUGCAAGUCGAGCGGUAAGGCCCUUCGGGGGUACACGAGCGGCGAACGGGUGAGUAACACGUGGGUGAUCUGCCUCGUACUUCGGGAUAAGCCUGGGAAACUGGGUCUAAUACCGGAUAUGACCUUGGACUGCAUGGUCUUUGGUGGAAAGAUUUAUCGGUACGAGAUGGGCCCGCGGCCUAUCAGCUUGUUGGUGGGGUAACGGCCUACCAAGGCGACGACGGGUAGCCGGCCUGAGAGGGCGACCGGCCACACUGGGACUGAGACACGGCCCAGACUCCUACGGGAGGCAGCAGUGGGGAAUAUUGCACAAUGGGCGAAAGCCUGAUGCAGCGACGCCGCGUGAGGGAUGACGGCCUUCGGGUUGUAAACCUCUUUCGACAGGGACGAAGCGCAAGUGACGGUACCUGUAGAAGAAGCACCGGCCAACUACGUGCCAGCAGCCGCGGUAAUACGUAGGGUGCGAGCGUUGUCCGGAAUUACUGGGCGUAAAGAGCUUGUAGGCGGUUCGUCGCGUCGUUCGUGAAAACUUGGGGCUCAACCCCAAGCUUGCGGGCGAUACGGGCGGACUAGAGUACUGCAGGGGAGACUGGAAUUCCUGGUGUAGCGGUGAAAUGCGCAGAUAUCAGGAGGAACACCGGUGGCGAAGGCGGGUCUCUGGGCAGUAACUGACGCUGAGAAGCGAAAGCGUGGGUAGCGAACAGGAUUAGAUACCCUGGUAGUCCACGCCGUAAACGGUGGGCGCUAGGUGUGGGUUUCCUUCCACGGGAUCCGUGCCGUAGCUAACGCAUUAAGC
rnacentral:rRNA from 1 species